rnacentral:rRNA from 1 species
AUUGAACGCUGGCGGCAGGCUUAACACAUGCAAGUCGAGCGGAGAUGAGGUGCUUGCACCUUAUCUUAGCGGCGGACGGGUGAGUAAUGCUUAGGAAUCUGCCUAUUAGUGGGGGACAACAUUCGGAAAGGGAUGCUAAUACCGCAUACGUCCACCGGGAGAAAGCAGGGGAUCUUCGGACCUUGCGCUAAGAGAUGAGCCUAAGUCGGAUUAGCUAGUUGGUGGGGUAAAGGCCUACCAAGGCGACGAUCUGUAGCGGGUCUGAGAGGAUGAUCCGCCACACUGGGACUGAGACACGGCCCAGACUCCUACGGGAGGCAGCAGUGGGGAAUAUUGGACAAUGGGGGGAACCCUGAUCCAGCCAUGCCGCGUGUGUGAAGAAGGCCUUAUGGUUGUAAAGCACUUUAAGCGAGGAGGAGGCUACUGAGACUAAUACUCUUGGAUAGUGGACGUUACUCGCAGAAUAAGCACCGGCUAACUCUGUGCCAGCCGCCGCCGUAACAC